UUUUAAACAAGUAAAUCAAUCAUAAAAAAUGGUAGAAUAAAAGAAAAGAUAGUAUAAAAGAAAAAACGACAGAGUCGUUUCUCGAAAGUCCGGCCACGAACUGCGCUUGCUAAUCAGCUAGCAUAGCUGGGUGGCUAGCCAAGAACGUCGAAUUGUUUAAAAAAAAAAAAAAAAAGCCAAAACCCCGGCGAUGCUGCGGAACAAAAGCGCUCCGAUUCGCCGCAAAACCCGGGGAGGGACGCCGGCGGGUGAUAAAGUAACACGGUGGGGCCGUAAAGGAAACUUUUUUAAAAAAACCCCACCGGGCAACGGGAGGGACUUUUAAAUUCGCCAAGGUUUCAAAAUGGAGGAAUGUUGUCCGCUUUGAAGUUUGCCUUUAAAAGCGCGUCUGUUCCCGACAGAAAGGGAGGCGCAACGGGAGAAGCGUGGCGUCUUUAAAUGAAACUAGAACAUAUUACGCGUUUUAAAAGUCUUACGGUGGCGACGACGGGUGCUCCCGGAGUUUGAACAGGGCUCCCCAACUUCCACGGAAAAGUUGCGGCGGCUCCCGGUCCUUCUGCGGGGGCGCGGCGGCUUCCUGCAAUGGCGGACGGGCCCGGACACGCAGCAGCCAGCGGGACAAUGCGCGUCCCACGGCGGCGAGAUCAGGAACUCAAGCAUGUCUGAAAAGCAGACUUUUGAUUGGUCAUCCUUCCAGGAACCGUCACAUGACCACCCAGUCAUUCUCCUGAGGUCAUAUUUUCGAUGUAGUAAAGUGGACAGCCUUGUCCUGGCCUUCAACCGUGCUUGAUGAAACGCAGGCCAUCAGAACGCGUCCCUGGCGUGACCUGAGACGUAAUCGUGAGUCUCCCAGUGAUUCAUUGGCCGAGAUGAAGCUUAUCAUUUCGACCUGACCAUUCCCGGGUGGGCCAUCACAUAAAAACAUUAUUUAUGUUUGUGCAAAAUAAUCACAUUUCUUUUGUUGUGUGGAGGAAAAUAAUAUGAAGUCAUUAAAUAUCAUUAAAUAAGUAUAUUGGGAUGUGUGACUUCUGGACGGAAAGAAUAUCUGACAUUUAGUGCCGG
rnacentral:lncRNA from 1 species